AAAUGGAGUUCGAACAGCAAAAUUAAUCUUUAGAUUACUUGGUCAUGCUUUUGGAGAAAAAGUCUUGUAGAGUUAGAGAAAGACGGAAAGAAUUUUAAAACAGAACUCAAAACAGUUGAAAAGGAGUUUGAUUAUCAGUGUAAAAAGAAGGGUAAAUUAUCUGGUGAUGAUUUCCUUCAAGAAACUGUGACAUUUUCCACAGCUGCACAAGCGUCGUUCAACGAACUUGAUGAUUCCUGGAAGGACAUGAAAACAAGAUAAGAGAAAUCUGUCCCGGCGUUUGGUGAACAACCGAAGACCAUUACCUCGGAAAACUUCUUUGGCAUUUUUUUACACAUUCUU